CCACCUACCCUCCACCUUCUACCACAUCGCCACCGGAGAAGCACCCUAGGACGCCGUCGCCCCACCCACCUUCUGCCGCGCUGCCCCGCCCGCGUCCACCUUCUGCCGCGCUGCCAGAGCACCACCCUGGCCGCCGCCGCGCCCCGCCCAACCCCCGUCCACCUUCUUACAAAGCCGCCACCGGAGCACCACUCCUGCCGGCACCAUGCAGUCCAGUACGUGGGGGCACGCAGCACGCCCCACCAUCGCCUUGCAGUCCAAAGUCCGGAUUUCUUGCUGUUGCGUUGCGUGCAGCGACAAGGAGAAGUCCGGAUCCAUCAGCCUCGUCUCCCGCUACCUGAGCUAGUUCUACAAUGAGCAGGUGCUAUCGCUCACUAUCCUCCCCCACAAUGCAGUGUGGCAGGGCCGCGGAUGCAGUGCGGCAGGGCGGCGCUUGUAGUGCGGCACUCACAGCCGAGCAGCAAACCCAUUGAACCUAUUGAGUAGAUGAGGCCGACGAAUCCCUACAGAAAACGGAAGAUCCUAUCCAUCAGUUCUUGCAUCUUUGUCAUGUUUUUCUAGUGAUUGCUCUGAUGAUCCGUUGUGCAAGAUAGGCUGAAGGCCCAGCCUUCUUUGGUACGACAUCAAUAGAGUACUCUUUGUGCUGAAACCAUGCCUUUUUUUGUUGUUGCGAAACACAAGUUUUUAUAGUACUAGAAUCAUUAGCAAGAAUGUAUGGGAACUUGCUUUCAGUGAGAUAUAUGUUCUUUUUUCCAGGCAGAAACGGGAGUUUACAGAAACCUACGAAAUUAGUAGAUUGCAAUGCUCAUUAUCUGAGACCACAAGUUAUCUUGUUUAGUUGCAUAAGGUGUUACUGGUAACGAUUGCAUAACUUUGAUUUAGCUACUAAAUAUCUCAUCAUGUAUUUGCUAGAUUCAGUCUCAAAGUCCUGCGCCGCAUCAAUGUUUCUUCCUACAUAUGGUCUGCUGGAAACAUUAGGAUAAAAAGAGUACUCUCGUUCCGAGUGACAACCACAAAAAACAGACAGUUCUGGUUCCAGUUCCCUACCACUGAGGAGAGCUUCAUCCCUCGCACGCACACCUCAAGAUAAUAGCACAACUGGAAAACUAUUCUCAUUGGUGUGCAGCAGACAAAACUAUUUUGGAAGAUGGCACAGCUCACAUGAUCGACAUGCUCAAGUAAUCACCUAUCUGCAAACCAAGGUAGCAUAAUAAAUAACAAUAUGUGCCAACCAAAGAAAAGGCUGAAGUAACACACUGCGGCAGGGCGGCGCUUGCAGGGCGGCACUCACGGCCGAGCAGCGAACCCAGCUACCGACCAGAGGGCACCAAGGCCUCAUCAUUCACAUAUGACCAGGACGGCAAAGAGCGUGCUGUGGCCGAGAUCAAUUUUCUCAGCCUCACAGACUAUGUGGGCCCCAAGCAGAAGACCGGCUGGGGAGUGGCUGCUCUGUGGAGCGGCAACAAGUCCAUGUAUACCUUGAUGAAUGUCCUGCAAAUGCUGAAUAGCAACCAGAGCUUUGUGCCAUACAGGCAGAGCAAAGUUACUCGUAUUCUCUGCAAGACUCUUUGUUCAAGACGAGCGGGGCUGUGGUGAUUGCCUGCUUGGAAGAAGUUCGUGCAGUCCAAAAAUCAAAGGCGUGCGUCCGUACAAUCCAAAAAUCGAAGGCGUGCAGUGCAGUAGAGCACCAGAAGCAGUGUCCAAAAUAGCCCCCUCGAUCCCGUCUAUCUGCCGACGACAACUACUCACAUGGCGCUGCUUCCUGGAUAUGCCAUGCAGUUCAGCGGCAUGGUCGUGCAAUCCAAGGCAUGUGUUGUCACGGAUCGCGGGCUUGGGCAUGUGGUGCAUGCAGUGCGGCGUGUGGGUGUGUGCAGUGCUCAACGAUGGCCAUGGAGCACCGAACGACAAACACCACCU